GAUUAAUUAGUUUCCGGGUUUUACACGUGGUUUGCAGGUGUAGUUAACAGCAGCUCGCUUAUUCUGCACGGAUUCCUGCUGAUCGCAGUAACGAAACGACUUCCUAGAUGAAUUCUGUCAAAGGAUUUAUGAGAAAGAAAAGGAUCCGAAGGAGACAUCCAUGUCUCUCUGGAUCUCCUUGGCACCAAACAAGGUGGUCAAACUUAAACAUGAAGAUGAUGAUG